rfam:Triticum aestivum genome assembly, contig: Triticum_aestivum_CS42_TGACv1_scaffold_346474_4DL
CUUUUACUCCCUCCAUUCUGAAUUACUUGUCUUAGAUUUGUCUAGAUACGGAUGUAUCUAGCACUAAAAUGAAUCUAGAUACGGAUGUAUCUAGACAAAUUUAAGACAAGUAAUUCGGAACGGAGGGAGUACAUG